GACGAACGCUGGCGGCGUGCCUAACACAUGCAAGUCAACUUGACUGAAGGAGCAAUCUGACAGUAGGGUGGCGCAAGGGUGCGUAACGCGUAAGUAACUUGCCCAAGGUAAGGAAUAACGUCGAGAAAUCGGCGCUAAUACCUCAUAAUGCAGCGGAUCCGCAUGGAUAUGUUGUUAAAGGUUUACCGCCUUGGGAUAGGCUUGCGUCUGAUUAGCUAGUUGGUGUGGUAACGGCACACCAAGGCUACGAUCAGUAACUGGUCUGAGAGGAUGAUCAGUCACACUGGAACUGAGACACGGUCCAGACUCCUACGGGAGGCAGCAGUGAGGAAUAUUGGGCAAUGCUCGAAAGAGUGACCCAGCAACGCCGCGUGGAGGAUGAAGGUAUUCUAUAUCGUAAACUCCUGUGAGAGCAGACGAAAGACAGAUUAUAAUCUGGAUGACUGUAUGCUCAGAGGAAGCCCCGGCUAA
rnacentral:rRNA from 1 species